GACGAACGCUGGCGGCGUGCUUAACACAUGCAAGUCGAACGGAAAGGCCCUGCUUUUGUGGGGUGCUCGAGUGGCGAAAGGGUGAGUAACACGUGAGUAACCUGCCCCUGACUUUGGGAUAACUUCAGGAAACUGGGGCGAAUACCGGAUAGGAGCUCCUGCUGCAUGGUGGGGGUUGGAAAGAUUCGUCGUUUGGGGACGGACUCGCGGCUUAUCAGCUUGUUGGUGGGGUAGUGUGUUACCAAGGCUUUGACGGGUAGCCGGCCUGAGAGGGUGACCGGCCACAUUGGGACUGAGAUACGGCCCAGACUCCUUCGGGAGGCAGCAGUGGGGAAUAGUGCACAAUGGGCGGAAUCCUGAUGCAGCGACGCCGCGUGCGGGAUGACGGCCUUCGGGUUGUAACCCGCUUUCGCCUGUGACGAAGCGUGAGUGACGGUAAUGGGUAAAGAAGCACCGGCUAACUACGUG
rnacentral:rRNA from 1 species